GACGAACGCUGGCGGCGUGCUUAACACAUGCAAGUCGUACGGUAAGGCCCUUUCGGGGGUACACGAGUGGCGAACGGGUGAGUAACACGUUAGUAACCUGCCCACAACUUUGGGAUAACGCUAGGAAACUGGUGCUAAUACUGGAUAUGUGCUCCUGCUGCAUGGUGGGGGUUGGAAAGCUCCGGCGGUUGUGGAUGGACUCGCGGCCUAUCAGCUUGUUGGUGGGGUAGUGGCCUACCAAGGCGGCGACGGGUAGCCGGCCUGAGAGGGUGACCGGCCACAUUGGGACUGAGAUACGGCCCAGACUCCUACGGGAGGCAGCAGUGGGGAAUAUUGCACAAUGGGCGCAAGCCUGAUGCAGCAACGCCGCGUGCGGGAUGACGGCCUUCGGGUUGUAAACCGCUUUCAGCAGGGACGAAGCUUUUUGUGACGGUACCUGCAGAAGAAGCACCGGCUAACUACGUG
rnacentral:rRNA from 1 species